CAUCCUCAGGGUGAUCUGGCUGUGACAUCUGUCAUCCCAUUGAUCACCAGGGUUGAUUGGGCUGAUCUGGUUGGCUAGGAGGGUGUCCCCUCCUUCCUCCCCACAUCUUGUGCGUCCCUCCUAAAGCUGAAUGCUCUGCCCCAUAGAGGAGGACUGUUGUUGGGUCAAGGGUAUACAAGUAGUUAUUCCCCUGCUAGAACCUCCAAACAAGCUCUCAAGGUCCAUUUUUAGGGGAACAUAGGGUAAUCAAGCUUCCAAGACCCUGGAUACACCCAAGUGAGGUGCUACAUAUGGCAGUCUUUCUUUACCCU
rnacentral:snRNA from 14 species